UACGUAGGGGCCUAGCGUUGUCCGGAUUUAUUGGGCGUAAAGAGCUCGUAGGCGGUUCGGCAAGUCGGAUGUGAAAUCUCCACGCUUAACGUGGAGGGGCCAUUCGAAACUGCCGUGACUCGAGUCCGGUAGGGGAGUGUGGAAUUCCCGGUGUAGCGGUGAAAUGCGCAGAUAUCGGGAGGAACACCAGAGGCGAAAGCGGCGACCUGGACAGGUACUGACACUCAACUGCGAAAGCGUGGGGAGCAAACAGG
rnacentral:rRNA from 1 species